AGAAUUCAUCACUCGUAUAAACCUGCUGAUUAGGAGCAGGUGUUUCUACCAAACGGCCGUAACCGUUUUUACUAUGGGUGUUCAUUU
rnacentral:ncRNA from 1 species